UCUUAUUAAGAGUGAUGGAGGGAAUAGGCCCAAAGAAGUCCAGCAACCUAUUAAGUUAGGUGCUAAAUCCUACGGUGAUACCGAUAGAUAAG
rnacentral:ncRNA from 1 species